UCCCCGGCGGCCGGGGCUCCCCCCGCUCCUUCGCGAGGCACCGCCGAGCAGCGGAGCGAACCGGCCGAGGGGCGCGGCGGUGGCCGGGGCCUUCGGCGCUGCUGGAGCGCUGGUUCAGCUCGAAACAGAGAAAGCUGGGAGGGAAUCUGCUGGGCUUGGCUCCUUGGGAGAGGUUUUCGAGAAAACGGAGCCGAGCUCAGAACACAAGGAAAAAGAAGCGCUGUGCUGUCCUCCCAUUUGCUCUAUCGCAGAUUCUUUGACUUUACCCCUAUUCCUACUUUUCUAAAUCCAAGCACCAAGCAAACCCCUUUUACAGUUAGGGAAAAAACCUCUGAAGAUUGAAACGAAAAUUCAAUUAUUUUAACAUCCUAUUUAUUGAAUAAGAAGACACAAAGCUCUGAUCCCCAGACAUUGAUGAGGUCGGUUCGUAGGAAACUAUUUUCUUGCUCAUGUGCCAGUGCUUGCUUUCAGCCUGUAUAGUAUAAAAGAUCUUUCUUGGACUUUUUCCAGAUGGUCAACUUUCUUUCUGUAUCUGUCACUUUUUCUCCUUUUCUAAAGUUUCUCAGCACUGCACCACGUUCUGUAGCACGGACCGGACAGCUGCAUAUAAAGUGGAAACACUGGAAAUGGCCUUACAGCACAUGACCAGAAAAUCUGUGAGAGAGACAGAAAACUCAGCACCAACCAAGUAUGGUUCAGAUCAAAAAACUGCAGCAACUACUAGAAAUGAAGGAUUGAGAGAUGGACUGAGUGAAGACCAUAGCACAGAGUAUCUUAAAUGAGGGGACUGUGGUGGAAAGAUUCUAUAUAGGUGCUCCGUGAUGUGAAUUGGGAGAUCAUAUCCAGUAGAAAGCAUUAAAAGAAAAAAGGCACAAACUGCCUAUAACAAAAAUGUAUGGAGGCGUGUGCAGCGAAGAAGCAAUUUCCCCAAAUCAAAACAUUCAAAAGCAGCAGAAAGAGCAUAAAUAAUGUGCACAGAGACCUAGAGGAAGCACAUACUGCUACUGGAGGAAAAAAAGUUUGAAAAACUGGGUAUCAGUAAGUUGACAUGAGGAAAAAAAAACAAAAAACGUUUUGCAAUUGCUUUUUGUCCAAAGGAAUGGGACAAAUCCAUGGUAAUCUUUUGUUUCUUCAGUAGGUGGAUACUGAACUGGGCUGGUCACUCCAGGUCACAGGAUUCUAGUAAGUUCUGAAUCUAACAUAAGAAUCUAACUGUGUGGCUUGGUGUGAGGUACUUAAACAAAAGUUGGUACACCAUAUACUGAUUUUGUACAUGCACUAGACAGUACUGUUAGAUCUUUGUGUAUUGUAUCAAGAGAAAAACAAUUGGAAAUAAAUUUUGGUACUGCUAAGGUCAAGAAUAGAAGUCAGGAGAAUUAUCUUUGCUCAGUGCAGUGGGAUUUAUUUUGUUCAGUCAUUAAUGAAUCCCUAUCCAUCUAUACCAAACAAGUAAAUAAUAUCUAUUGUGACAGUAACAUUCCCCAGGUAUAUUUCUGUACAAGAGUGUUGUAAAGCAAACUUCCCAGUAUUAAAAAGUACAAACAUCCACAGCCA